GAAGGGGGCAAGAGCAUCAAGGACUGCUAAUCCUCCACCCAGUAGUUAAAUCCCACAGACCCU
rnacentral:tRNA from 1 species